GACGACGGUCGGACGGCCCCGGUCGUACUGCCGAUUGCCGGAGCGUUUUACCUUUUCCGCGGUCCCUCAUUUCAACUUGGACGCCCGACGUUGAACGUCGUGUUUUUCUCCUUCGGGUGUCCGCCGUCGAGUGGAAUCGACUGGCCGAAAAAGAAUUCCACGCGGCCUCUGGACGCGUUUCCGCAACUGACAAGUGAGAACGAAUUGAAUUAGUUUGAUAUUAAUUUUAAAUUUUCAUAUAUUUUAACGCGUGUACUUUUUUCGUCUUUUGCUGUUUCGCCCGUGCGGGACCUCUGGGUAUUUUGUCGGCGGCGGUAGUAAACCUCGUGUUUUGUUUUUUUCUUGAAUUCUCGGCACGGCCCCGGUUGCGGCCGAUAUCGAUUUUCGGAUCGCUCUUUGAUGAUGAUGAUGAAUCCCAAAACGGCCAAAACUGUUGGUUGUACACAGUAGCAGUCCUAUGGGAAGAGGGAGGGGCUUGGCCUCUAUAGUAUAUUAUAACUAAAACCUGAUAAUAUUUCUACGUUUUAUAUUAUUUUAUGUGAAAUAAUUGAAGUAACAAAGCGAGAAAAAAUCGAUGGUUUUAGUAUUUUUUGACAACACUACGUUUCACAUAUUCUGUGAUGGUGGUGGUUUUGAUAAUAUGGCGGGGACUGGGAGACGGCGUGCACCACCACCUAAAAUAUCGACCGAUUUGCAAAACAAAAAAACCGAAAAAGUAUUUUUUCUCAUACUAUUUUUAGCAUUGUAUUUUAUGUGGAAAAUAUCUCGCUCCUCCCCCUCCCCUCAUUUUUGUUUCAUUGUAGCAAAUACUGACGUAAUUAUUCGUUGGGCAAACUGGCGUUAGUUGGUAUAUUUUCCUAAAAUUUACAAAACUGAAAAGUUGUCUACUUAAUAUUUUAAUGGAUUAUGACAAAAAUGUAAAUUUUGAAUCCAAAAGAUUAAUUAAUUCGACCCUUAUUCGGUUUGUCUGUAACAAAACUUUGUGUAUUCUUUUUUUUGUACGUUUUGUAAUUUAUUCCGUUGUAAUAUACAUGAUGUUUCUCGCUUGAUAAAUGUUUUACGGUAAAUCGUUUUUUUUUCUGCAUUAUAUAAAUGUUUUAAACGUAUGCAAUAGACUCGCCGUCGGACUUAGUAUUUUUGGCGUUGCGUUCAAAAAAUAAAAACGCGACGGUUAGGACAACAAGACUUACUACACGAUAUCAUCGGACGUAUGGUUUACCGAUUUUUAGAUUUAGUGAUUCUAAAUAUACCACGUUUGGUUUUAUCGUAGACGCUGCCACUCAAUAUCUAUGUUUUGACAUUCCAACUAUUGCCCGUCGAUAAUAUAACAGGAGUUAAGAGUAUCUGCUUUAUAAUUUGUUGAAUGUAUGUAAAAAUCAUAAUAUCAAAAAUAUCUAUCAAAAUAAAGCAAAAUAAAUUUUAUUAUUCUCAUUCAAAAGCACACUGUACGGAUUGGUGACCAGACUAGCAUUACAUAGUAACCUUCGGAAAAAAAAUGCAAUCCUGUUACUUUUGUGAAGUGUUUCCCGAAGUUGAUAUUUUAUUUUACCCUGUACACUUGAAUUAUGGCACCUAUUUUUCCACUGUUUUUAUUAUUAUUAGAUUUAUCCACAACUAUUCCUGUAUGAAUUAUACUUGUGAUUUUAACUUUUUUGUGACGGAUUUUUGUUUCAGCUCCAAGAAGAAUACAGAAACAAAAUAUAUGUGACCCCUCGGUUGCGGAAAACGUUUUAUUGAUCUUGAGUUUUAUACGCGUCAACUAAAGCCUUUAAUUAUUGCAGUCUAAUCGUCUACUUAAUCGCCUACUUUAAAAUAUAAACAAUCAAACAAUAAUUCCUCUUUCUAUUAGCCUAUAAAAAUAUAUUAUUUGAAUGCCUAGUUUUUAUAUAUAAAUAAAUAUAUAUGUGUGCGAUUUUGUUGAAUAAGGGACUUAUUCACCAGCAUUGCACAAAGACAAAUCACUACUCAAAAACUAGGCAUUCAAAUUAAUAAUAAAUGUUUUGAUAAUAUAAAGAGGAAACUUUGUUCGAAAGUUUUUCAUUUUCCUGUAGGCUUUGAGACUGCACUUUGCUGGUAAAUUGCUAAAGGUUACUCCAACUGCAGAUAAUCCAAAUACGAUGUCUAGUAUUAAGGAAAAAUAUGGGCCCAUUUAUGUUUUCAAAUUUGCAGAGUAUGUGUUUUAAUUUCUCUAAUUAUACACAUAAUAUUCAUUGUUCUAAUCAAUUAUUAUUCGAUGUUUUUAGAUGUCUCGACAAACAACCUAUUACAGUUGAAGUAAAUGAGAUAAGAUCAUUCACUUUUCAAAUAAUUCAUUUACCAUACCCAUAACUAAAGGAGUGAACUGUUUACAUGAUGAAAAAUUUUAUUUACAUGAAUCGAAACAUCUAUUUAGUGUAUGAAAUGUCUCUUUAUAUUAAGUUUUUUGUCAAACUAUACUUUGAAUGUCAAUAAAAAUUAAGUAAUAUUAUGCUCC
rnacentral:lncRNA from 1 species